CUUAUUAGCAUAUUGGAAGAAAGCGGGAAAGUUGGUAAGCAGAGCGUCCUUUACGCGCGGAGAGGCCAAGUUUAUCCUAGUGGCUUGUACCCAAAAGAUUACUGCCUGGAAUAUGUCAGACCAAUGACAUUGAAACCAGAUGUUAGAGGAGUAGCAGUUUGAGAGGCAGAGAGAGGGCUGUGCGCUGAGGAUAAGAAAACAUCCAGUGUCCGGGAGGUCAUCCGCAGGGUUUUCCUCAGCAUUCCACGAGACAGACUGAGCCAGGAUGGGAAUUCUAGGUUCAGUUUGCGAACCAGGGAUGAUUAUCCAGAAAGUUCUCUACAGCCCCAGAGCAAAGGUGGCCAAAAGUGCAGAUGAAGCCUUGUCCACGCAUGUUCAUAGCGCGGUUCACGACAGCAAAAGGCGGCAAUGACCCAAGUGUCCAUCACGGGAGGAAUGAAUAAACAAAAUGCGAUAUAUCCAAGCAGUGGAGAGUAUUCUCCAGCCUUAAAGCAUGAAGUGCUUCUAGAUGCUAUGACUGGAAGAGCCUUGAAGACAUUGCUAAGAAGUCAGAUACAAAAGGUCCCUUAUGAUAUGAACUAUCUGGAAUAGUCAGGUCUUCAGGCGCAGAGAGCAGCAUUUUUUUCCAGGAAAAGAUUUGACGUGGGUGAGCAGGAUUACACCGUAGAAAGUUCCUAGAGGUCCAGGGACCCUGCCUCAGGCGCUCUUCAGAUUCAAGACUCUAGGCCUGGAGAAGAGGAUUUUGUCGAAGUGACGGUUUCCUCUGAACCUCCAAGUUCACACUGAACUCCAGGUAUCCUGAUGCUUCAUCCAGUGCCUAACCUGCGGUGCCCAAAGCGGUGUAUCCAACAAAGUCCCCAGGUUCUUUUCCUAGAAGGAAAUCCCUCUGUAGAUCUGGUCACAGGAGUUGCGAGCCACCCCUGCAGCGACCAUAAACCAGAUGUCUGCAGGCGGCUACUGGCAGGCUCCUCUGUGUUUCCAGACCCUUCUGGGGCCCUUCCUUCCGCCAUCAUGGCCCGUCUCCGGUAUAACUUCUCCUUCGGUCCUCGGGAAAAGUGAGGCACCUAGGUAAGAACGUUCUGCCUGGUCUGUCCUUGUCUCCUCUCCUUGCCUGUGAACCGCACAACCCACUACAUAAAGCAGGAGGCACCAAGCAAAAGCAUGCGUGAUAGAUGCAGGGUUUCCCAAACCCUGACAUGCACAGGCAUCACUUGGGGCUGUUGUUAAAACACGGAUUCUGAGUCGCUGCGUUUGGGGUGGGGCCUGAGCUUCUGCUUUGUGGACGAGCCCUCAGGUGAUGCUGAUGCUGCUGGUCUGGACACCGUACUUUGAAUAACACAGUUAUGGAAGACGGGAGGAAAUAUUGAAAGCAGAGCGGGAGUGCCCCAUUAUUCUGAGUCACUGGGACGUGGGGGAUGGGAGGUGGUGGAGUUAAAUUGUAUGAAUCUCAUCUUAGGGAUGGUUUAACGCAAAUAGAUUCUACUUGUGCUCUGACUGUCCGUGAAAUCACGUUCAACCUUCAACAUUCAACGUGGGGGUUCCGACGCUACUUUGUGGCAUUCUUUGAAUCUACGGGCAGGAGAAAGGCAUAAUAGGAAAUGACUUCUUCACCUGGUGUGGUGGGGUAGAAAGCCCCCAGCUGGUCUUGGGAUCAGAAGACUUGGCGUCAAUGUCAGCUUGGACCCAUUGCUAGUGGGCACUCUAGCAACGCCUUGUCCUGAAUUGCAUUUUAAUACACCACCCCGUUUUAUCAUCCUUCUUACGCGGAUAAUAACGGUGCUUACAGCCAAAGAAGAUGUAUUACCAUUACAGCAUUCCCAUAAAACAUGAAGUGAUCAAACAUCCCGGCUCAUUUUCUUAAAUAUCGUACCAGUGAGAUUUACACACGUCUGCUUCCUUCAAGCUCGGCCAGCUUUCAAGAUGCAUUGUCUCCAGGGCGCGGCCCUUCAUAAAAAUGGGCUCUUUGGCCCCACGUGAGUUCCUCUCUCAUGUCAAGCCCUUAAGGAAAUAAUUUCGGAAAGCGUCCUGGCCCACACAUCUGAGGGUCCCUCUUUGCUUGUGGGAGAUGGUCGCAUUCUUGGAAAUGUUUCGGGAGGACACCACAAAGGGGAACUUGAGGGAGUUAAUGUUGGGGACUGGCCCAUCUGAAAGAGAAGCCUGGGGGCGCCUGGGUGGCUCGGUCGGUUAAGCAUCCAACCUCAGCUCAGGUCACGAUCUCGCGGUCCGUGAGUUC